UCAAUUGCAAGGUGUUUUUUGAAUUUUGAAUUAAAAAGUAUUUUUUGAGGAGGGUAAUUAGGUUUAUUUAUUUGUUUCAUUUAUUAAAAUGAGGUACUGGGACCUCGUACAUGAUAAGCAUGUGCUCUACCACUGAACUGUACCCUCCUCCCCAAGGCAAGUUUUCUUAUCCAUUAUUCUGCAGCUUAGGGUUUCAAUUAAAUUGGAAUUGAAAUCCAGAUCUUUUGUUCCUACUGUUGUCCUUUUCUUUAUAUUCUGCUGAAGGGGGUUGCGGAAAGCAGUUCCUUUUUUCAUUUCUUUAUUCCGCAUUUUUGAGCAGUGACUUUGCAUCAGGGCCUUGUUAGGUGCUUUGAAACAGAAAACAAGAAAUGACCCUUCUCUGCAUGGGCAGGAAGCCUAGACAAAAAGCUGGGUAAAGUGAUCCGAGCUACGGUAGCCAUGUGCAGGCUCUGAAGGUCAAACUGUACCCCUGGAUUUGCUUGGGCUUCCCCUGCCUUCUGGCUGGUACACACCAGGUCACCGCAACCCAGAGGCGCCCACAGCCCACAGCACAAUAUUUAUCUCGAUCUCCUCUCCCCUCUCGGCAGGGCCUGCAACAUGAGCAUCCCUGACUACGUGCAGUUUGCUGAGGACUAUGAGACUCUUCCCGUGGUGGUCAAACCAGUGGGGAUCAUCUCAGAGGAGAAUUUCUUUUGCAUCUAUAAGCGAACCUCCUUGGUGAGCCAGAUCAGCCCGUGCAGCUCCCAGGGCGCACUCUCUACGCACUACAGGCACCACUAUGCGCCCAAGAAUGGAUGGAGCGUCUUCCAGACCCACCGCAUGGUUGUGGGCCUUGUCACCAUUACCGACUGCCUCUCGGCCAAGGCCUUCGAGAAGCUCCACGUGCAGAGGAGCUGUAUGGCAUCAUGCUUAAUGACUCUCAGCUCUUUGUCUUUGUGCUGCAUGGGGAGGUAAGCCAAGCAGCCGCGCACCGACGUGGCCUUCAAUCUAUGAGGACUGCAGAGUGGUGGAGAAGAGGAUCGAGGACUUCACUGAGUCACUCUUCAUCUUGCUCAAGUCCAAGUGGCUGGAUGGGGCCCCUGACAAGUCUGGGGACAAGAUCCCACUCCUCUGCAUGCCGUUUGAGAAGGAGGACUUCAUGGGACUGGACACAGACAGCAGGGCCCUGUGAUCUACAUGCCCGCACUCACCAUCUGCUCCUUGGAGAUGAGGUGGCAGGUUUAGGAGCCUGGGCACUGCUGAGGGCACAGCUGCCAGCACCGUGCUACACGGAGGCUGGCUCCGUUCACCUCACAUGUCACCUCCUGCUGAUCCACCAGGCGUCAGUCAAGCUGACGUCCACCACUGUCGGCCUUGUCGUUAGUUUGCGGUAGUGAGUCUCCAACACCCCAGUCAACUGUGAAGGAAGAUGCUUUGGCCGACGUAGGACCUUGGAUUCUCACCCCCACCAUGGUUCAUCUCACGCGGUGAAAGUGUUUGGCCACCACCAUCAUGCUGACCAUGAGGCCUUGUUUCUCCUUUCAUGCUCUGGUCCAAAUGUGGACACUUCAUUUUUCACUGAAUUUGUCUCGCUUCAGACAGGAGAGAAUAUCUGAAGGAGUCCAUCACAUUGUGGGUGGGGAACAGAUCAGAAGUAAAUGUCGCAAGUAGAAGGAGUCUAGUCUGUCCGGGUUGGCAAAUGCAGGCUGGGAUCGGUGAUGGCCGGGCUAUGCCCUGGACACAGGCCUUUCCCGUGUCUCCCGAGAGCCCAGGGGUCGGAGUGAGAACAGCCUGGCCUGGGUUCCUCCAUCCUCGUCUGCUUACUGACAACUGUUUCUGCUAAUUAGGAGUUCCCCCACACCUCGGGCCCUUCAAAAGACCACGGGAGAACAUUGAGUCCCUUCUCCUGGGCCUCCUUUGUGAGAAUACAGUGCCUUCUGAGGUGACCAGUGGCAGGAGAUGCCUCCCCCUCCAGGGAGCACCCUUUGGAGGACUGUGAGUCAGUGCACCAUGCUGUGAGCUUGUGGGGUUCCGGCCGUGGUCCCUGCAGAACCAGACUUGAGAUGGGCUUAGUGACGGAUAUAACAGGACUGAUUCCAGGGCAGGGCUUGGGGGAGGGAACAGUGGAAAUUGAAUGUGACCUAAAACACAUAGGUGGGUGCUGGGGCUGUUACUAAAAUGGGGUGUCAGGGAGGUACCUGCCAGGAAUCGAAUUCCAGAGUAAAUGGCGGACAUGAGGCAUUUUUAAGAUGCCAUUUGUCAUCCAAGUUAGGACUUCAAAGAGGCACUCGGGUCUAAGGCCCUGGGGCUCAGGUGAAGGAGCCAGACUAGAGAUACACGUUGGGAGUCGUCAUUCUUAGCUGGUGUUCACAGACGCGCAUGUGAAUUAGAUCAUCUUGAGAGCUGCAGACUGAGGCUGAUGGGGGGCAGGGCUGUGCCUGGGUUGGAGGAAAGCCCAGACCAUGCAGCUUUCGUGUGUCCAUCUGCGGCGUUUGCGAUUUUCAAACUAAUGCCAUUUAUCCUUAAGUGGCCGGGGGUUGGGCAGGGCCAGCCUGGAAGAAAUCUGAAAGGAGGUUCGUGGCCACGUGUGUGUCUUGGGAAGACGCAGAUUCUGCAGGGUCCGGGAGGGUAGAUUUCUAAGAAGCUGGAGUUGGAGUGGGGAGAAAGUAGUCACACUCACCUGUGAGGGAGGGAGGGCGUCCUUGGGUGUCGCCACCCUACUGGACUCGCUUUCCAAUGAACAGAAGGCAAUCAGACAGAGGAUCUGAGGUGAGAAGAGAUGGGCACUGGGAGGGGAGCAAACCUGGAGAAUGGUGCGUGCAAAGUUCUGGAAUAGUCUCCCUGAAAAUUUGAGUUAAAAAUACCCAGACUCUUAAGAACAUUGAUAGUGACUGGGGAGGAGGCAGUUGUUUUUCUGGCCUACUAAAAGUAAUGCAUUUAUUCAGGGAUACACAGAAGAUUCGGGCAGUCUUUUCCAGGGGUUUGAUCCUUACCAGGGGGAACACUGCAAGUUUAAAGGGGGAGAAGGGCAGCGGAGGGAAGCUAGUCAGUCCCCGUGUCAGGUACCAGACGGCAGCCCUACUUGCGUGUUGCAUUCUCAUCCAUGCCUCCCAGUUGGGCGAUGGCAGCUCCCUUUUGCGGAUUGGGAAGCCUUCUCAGAGGGGUUAAGGAAUUGGUCCGUUUAGCGGCUAGUCAAUGCUGUAGCAGGAUUCAAGCAGGGCCUUGUCAGACUUCAAGGGCAUGUUCUCUCUACUAAUUCCGGUACCUCUCUGUUGUACCUGGAUUGGUGAAUUGGGUCAGUUUUGGAGCCUUUCACAAAAAAUACGAUUUAAGUGUCUCAGGACAGUUUCACAAAGCUCA